rnacentral:rRNA from 1 species
AGUGAACGCUGGCGGUAGGCCUAACACAUGCAAGUCGAACGGCAGCACAGUAAGAGCUGGCUCUUACGGGUGCGGAGUGGCGGCGGGGGGGGGGGACCAUCGGAAUUUACUUUUUGGGGGGGGAUAACGUAGGGAAACUUACGCUAAUACGGAAUACGACCUACGGGUGAAAGAAGGGGAUCUUCGAACCUGGGCGGAUGGAAUGAGCGGAUGUCGGAUUAGCUAGUUGGCGGGGUAAAGGCCCACCAGGGCGACGAUCCGUAGCUGGUCUGAGAGGAUGAUCAGCCACACUGGAACUGAGACACGGUCCAGACUCCUACGGGAGGCAGCAGUGGGGAAUAUUGGACAAUGGGCGCAAGCCUGAUCCAGCCAUACCGCGUGGGUGAAGAAGGCCUUCGGGUUGUAAAGCCCUUUUGUUGGGAAAGAAAAGCAGCAGGUUAAUACCCCGCUGUUCUGACGGUACCCAAAGAAUAAGCACCGGCUAACUUCGU